AAAGUGAUGGAUGAGACCAUUGCAUCUUGGGCACUCUUAGACCUGUUGGGGAAGCAUAAAGUACAUGAAACAUCUCUUGCAGCCAGCAACAACGAGAACAUGAUCGCUUUCGUAGCGGUAAUCGUCCCUUGAAGAAGAAGUUGUGGAGGUAGAAGAGGAACCCUUGCUAUCAUACUCACACCCAUUAGAAUACGAGCCAUCUUCUUCAGAGUAAUCA